rnacentral:rRNA from 1 species
UACGUAGGGGGCAAGCGUUGUCCGGAAUCAUUGGGCGUAAAGAGCGUGUAGGCGGCUCGGUAAGUCCGCUGUGAAAGUCCAGGGCUCAACCCUGGAAGGCCGGUGGAAACUGCCGGGCUAGAGUCCGGAAGAGGCGAGUGGAAUUCCCGGUGUAGCGGUGAAAUGCGCAGAUAUCGGGAGGAACACCAAGGCGAAGGCAGCUCGCUGGGACGGUACUGACGCUGAGACGCGAAAGCGUGGGGAGCAAACAGG